UACAGAGGUGGCAAGCGUUGUUCGGAAUUACUGGGCGUAAAGGGCGCGUAGGCGGCCAGCACAAGUCAGUUGUGAAAUCUCCGAGCUUAACUCGGAAAGGUCAACUGAUACUGUGCGGCUAGAGUGCGGGAGGGGCAACUGGAAUUCUUGGUGUAGCGGUGAAAUGCGUAGAUAUCAAGAGGAACACCUGCGGCGAAGGCGGGUUGCUGGGCCGACACUGACGCUGAUGCGCGAAAGCCAGGGGAGCGAACGGG
rnacentral:rRNA from 1 species